GAUGAAGAACGUAGCGAAAUGCGAUAAGUAGUGUGAAUUGCAGAAUUCAGUGAAUCAUCGAAUCUUUGAACGCACAUUGCGCCCCUUGGUAUUCCAUGGGGCAUGCCUGUUCGAGCGUCAUUUGUACCUUCAAGCUUUGCUUGGUGUUGGGUGUUUGUCCAUUCUCUUGCAGAGGGACUCGCCUUAAAGUAAUUGGCAGCCAGUGUUUUGGUUUUGAAGCGCAGCACAAGUCGCGAUUCAAAGCUAUACGCCCGCUUCCACAAGCCUUUUUCACUUUUGACCUCGGAUCAGGUAGGGAUACCCGCUGAACUUAAGCAUAUUAAUAAGCGGAGGA
rnacentral:misc_RNA from 1 species